AGUGAACGCUGGCGGUAGGCCUAACACAUGCAAGUCGAACGGCAGCACAGUAAGAGCUUGCUCUUACGGGUGGCGAGUGGCGGACGGGUGAGGAAUACAUCGGAAUCUACUUUUUCGUGGGGGAUAACGUAGGGAAACUUACGCUACUACCGCAUACGACCUACGGGUGAAAGCAGGGGAUCUUCGGACCUUGCGCGACUGAAUGAGCCGAUGUCGGAUUAGCUAGUUGGCGGGGUAACGGCCCACCAAGGCGACGAUCCGUAGCUGGUCUGAGAGGAUGAUCAGCCACACUGGAACUGAGACACGGUCCAGACUCCUACGGGAGGCAGCAGUGGGGAAUAUUGGACAAUGGGCGCAAGCCUGAUCCAGCAAUACCGCGUGGGUGAAGAAGGCCUUCGGGUUGUAAAGCCCUUUUGUUGGGAAAGAAAAGCAGCAGGUUAAUACCCCGAUGUUCUGACGGUACCCAAAGAAUAAGCACCGGCUAACUUCGUG
rnacentral:rRNA from 1 species